rnacentral:rRNA from 1 species
AGCGGCGGACGGGUGAGUAACACGUGGGUAACCUGCCCAAGAGACUGGGAUAACACCUGGAAACAGAUGCUAAUACCGGACAACAACACUAGACGCAUGUCUAGAGUUUGAAAGAUGGUUCUGCUAUCACUCUUGGAUGGACCUGCGGUGCAUUAGCUAGUUGGUAAGGUAACGGCUUACCAAGGCGACGAUGCAUAGCCGAGUUGAGAGACUGAUCGGCCACAUUGGGACUGAGACACGGCCCAAACUCCUACGGGAGGCAGCAGUAGGGAAUCUUCCACAAUGGACGCAAGUCUGAUGGAGCAACGCCGCGUGAGUGAAGAAGGUUUUCGGAUCGUAAAGCUCUGUUGUUGGUGAAGAAGGGUAGAGGUGGUAACUGGCCUUUAUUUGACGGUAAUCAACCAGAAAGUCACGGCUAACUACGUGCCAGCAGCCGCGGUAAUACGUAGGUAGCAAGCGUUGUCCGGAUUUAUCGGGCGUAAAGCGAGCGCAGGCGGAAAAAUAAGUCUAAUGUGAAAGCCCUCGGCUUAACCGAGGAACUGCAUCGGAAACUGUUUUUCUUGAGUGCAGAAGAGGAGAGUGGAACUCCAUGUGUAGCGGUGGAAUGCGUAGAUAUAUGGAAGAACACCAGUGGCGAACGCGGCUCUCUGGUCUGCAACUGACGCUGAGGCUCGAAAGCAUGGGUAGCGAACAGGAUUAGAUACCCUGGGUAGUCCAUGCCGUAACGAUGAGUGCUAAGUGU